rnacentral:rRNA from 1 species
UACGUAGGCAGCAAGCGUUGUUCGGAGUUACUGGGCGUAAAGAGUGCGUAGGUGGUGCCCUAAGUCUGUUGUGAAAUCUCCCGGCUCAACCGGGAGGGUGCGCCGAAUACUGAGAGACUUGGAGUGCGGGAGAGGAAAGUGGAAUUCCUGGUGUAGCGGUGAAAUGCGUAGAUAUCAGGAGGAACACCGGUGGUGUAGACGGCUUUCUGGACCGU